rnacentral:rRNA from 1 species
CAGUAGCCGCGGGAAAACGGAGGGAGCUAGCGUUAUUCGGAAUUACUGGGCGUAAAGCGCACGUAGGCGGCUUUGUAAGUUAGAGGUGAAAGCCUGGAGCUCAACUCCAGAAUUGCCUUUAAGACUGCAUCGCUCGAAUCCAGGAGAGGUGAGUGGAAUUCCGAGUGUAGAGGUGAAAUUCGUAGAUAUUCGGAAGAACACCAGUGGCGAAGGCGGCUCACUGGACUGGUAUUGACGCUGAGGUGCGAAAGCGUGGGGAGCAAACAGGAUUAGAUACCCGAGUAGUCCCUGUCUCUUAUAC